CGCCGCGGAUCUUCGGUUGGCCUCGGAUAGCCGGCCUCGCCGGUGAGCAUCGCCACUCGUGACAGGGCUGGGGCGCGGCCGGAUCACGGUCGCCCCUCUCCUAUCUCGCACCGCAUGUUUGUGGAGAACCUGGUGCUAAAUCACUUGCAGACGACCUGAUUCUGGGUCAGGGUUUCGUACGUAGCAGAGCAGCUCCUUCGCUGCGAUCU
rnacentral:rRNA from 1 species